ACACGUGGGUAACCUGCCUGUAAGACUGGGAUAACUCCGGGAAACCGGGGCUAAUACCGGAUGGUUGUCUGAACCGCAUGGUUCAGACAUAAAAGGUGGCUUCGGCUACCACUUACAGAUGGACCCGCGGCGCAUUAGCUAGUUGGUGAGGUAACGGCUCACCAAGGCGACGAUGCGUAGCCGACCUGAGAGGGUGAUCGGCCACACUGGGACUGAGACACGGCCCAGACUCCUACGGGAGGCAGCAGUAGGGAAUCUUCCGCAAUGGACGAAAGUCUGACGGAGCAACGCCGCGUGAGUGAUGAAGGUUUUCGGAUCGUAAAGCUCUGUUGUUAGGGAAGAACAAGUGCCGUUCAAAUAGGGCGGCACCUUGACGGUACCUAACCAGAAAGCCACGGCUAACUACGUGCCAGCAGCCGCGGUAAUACGUAGGUGGCAAGCGUUGUCCGGAAUUAUUGGGCGUAAAGGGCUCGCAGGCGGUUUCUUAAGUCUGAUGUGAAAGCCCCCGGCUCAACCGGGGAGGGUCAUUGGAAACUGGGGAACUUGAGUGCAGAAGAGGAGAGUGGAAUUCCACGUGUAGCGGUGAAAUGCGUAGAGAUGUGGAGGAACACCAGUGGCGAAGGCGACUCUCUGGUCUGUAACUGACGCUGAGGAGCGAAAGCGUGGGGAGCGAACAGGAUUAGAUACCCUGGUAGUCCACGCCGUAAACGAUGAGUGCUAAGUGUUAGGGGGUUUCCGCCCCUUAGUGCUGCAGCUAACGCAUUAAGCACUCCGCCUGGGGAGUACGGUCGCAAGACUGAAACUCAAAGGAAUUGACGGGGGCCCGCACAAGCGGUGGAGCAUGUGGUUUAAUUCGAAGCAACGCGAAGAACCUUACCAGGUCUUGACAUCCUCUGACAAUCCUAGAGAUAGGACGUCCCCUUCGGGGGCAGAGUGACAGGUGGUGCAUGGUUGUCGUCAGCUCGUGUCGUGAGAUGUUGGGUUAAGUCCCGCAACGAGCGCAACCCUUGAUCUUAGUUGCCAGCAUUCAGUUGGGCACUCUAAGGUGACUGCCGGUGACAAACCGGAGGAAGGUGGGGAUGACGUCAAAUCAUCAUGCCCCUUAUGACCUGGGCUACACACGUGCUACAAUGGACAGAACAAAGGGCAGCGAAACCGCGAGGUUAAGCCAAUCCCACAAAUCUGUUCUCAGUUCGGAUCGCAGUCUGCAACUCGACUGCGUGAAGCUGGAAUCGCUAGUAAUCGCGGAUCAGCAUGCCGCG
rnacentral:rRNA from 1 species